GCUCCAGAUGUUGCUGAACUAUAACUCCCACCAUCCCUUACCAUUGGCCAAGCUGGCUGGGGCUAAUGGGAGUUGCAGUUCAGCAACAUCUGGAGGGUCA